rnacentral:lncRNA from 1 species
GUUCCAGAUUGUUUUUAUGACUAACUCUUAUCUAAUUCUAGGGAGGAGAAAGAGAAAGAGCUUCUUAUAGACCUGUAGUGAAAUCUGGCUCCUCAACAUAUUCCUGAUUUCCAGGUUGCUUCCCUAAAGACUUUGGAGAAUUUCCUUUUAGGAUGAAGAUUUCCAGAAACUUGGAUCAUAUUUGAUUUGGGGGCCCUCCUAUUUGUUCUGUUCAAGCUGCUGACCACAUGCUUAGCUGGUCAUUGCAAUUUUUAUCUUGACAUAGGAGGAGGCAAGGAUAAUCAAGCUGUUUAGUACAGUAGAAACUCUUGGAUUUAGAGUCAGAAGGAGUGGAUUAAAAUCUUGGAUUUGCCCACUUAUUCCCUUUGUAACCUUGAGG